rnacentral:rRNA from 1 species
GACGAACGCUGGCGGCGUGCCUAAUACAUGCAAGUAGAACGCUGAAGGAGGAGCUUGCUUCUCUGGAUGAGUUGCGAACGGGUGAGUAACGCGUAGGUAACCUGCCUGGUAGCGGGGGAUAACUAUUGGAAACGAUAGCUAAUACCGCAUAAGAGUAGAUGUUGCAUGACAUUUGCUUAAAAGGUGCAAUUGCAUCACUACCAGAUGGACCUGCGUUGUAUUAGCUAGUUGGUGGGGUAACGGCUCACCAAGGCGACGAUACAUAGCCGACCUGAGAGGGUGAGCGGCCGCACUGGGACUGUGACCGGGCCCAGACUCCCACGGGAGGCAGCAGUAGGGCAUCGUCGGCAAUGGACGGAAGUCUGACCGAGCAGCGCCGAGUGAGUGAAGAAGGUUUUCGGAUCGUAAAGCUCGGUUGUAAGAGAAGAACGAGUGUGAGAGUGGAAAGUUCACACUGUGACGGUAUCUUACCAGAAAGGGACGGCUAACUACGUG